rnacentral:rRNA from 1 species
UACGUAGGGGGGCAAGCGUUGUCCGGAAUCAUUGGGCGUAAAGAGCGUGUAGGCGGCCCGGUAAGUCCGCUGUGAAAGUCCAGGGCUCAACCCUGGGAUGCCGGUGGAUACUGUCGGGCUUGAGUCCGGAAGAGGAGUGUGGAAUUCCUGGUGUAGCGGUGAAAUGCGCAGAUAUCAGGAGGAACACCAAUGGCGAAGGCAGCACUCUGGGACGUGACUGACGCUGAGACGCGAAAAGCGUGGGGAGCAAACAGG